GUAAACGGAAAAUCCGAUGAGUAGAAAGGAACUUUGGUUUAACCAGUACUUUUGAAGGAGUAAAGCAGGAAGAAAACUGACCUUGUUGUACAACGUAAACAAAGGCUAUCCGCUGUGAGUAUACUUGUUUGGUGUGGAGUAAACUGCAGAGAUUAACCUGUGUGAUCGUUGGAGUCCUCGAGGAGGAAACGGGCGGCCCUGCCCCUAUAAUAGCGUGGUGGGCGAGCCGCUGGAAGUAUAGAUCCAAAGCAGCACAGCAACGAGACUUUAUUUCGGUCGUGUUUGCCAUCGCCCCUAUUUAGCCCAAGCGCAGUGGAGGACACCGGGCGCUUUUCCUUGUGGUGUUGCACUUAUAGCGUGGUGAGUGAGACUUUACAAAUAAUAAGCUUUCACAUUGGAGUGGUGCUGUGUAUUUGCUGUGGGUUGCUGUGUGUCUUGUAGACGAAGCCCCGUACAUCCAUCUUCUCUCCUGGGCAGAGGACGGAGGGGCUAACGACCUCAGAAAAUUCUGCUACCAUACGCUGUGUGCUGUUUCGGAGGACGAAGGGACGCGGACCAAGAGCUGUCCAGGGCUGUGAGUGAAGUAUUGGAAGUAUUUGUGGUGUACACUUACCUGUGUCUGUCUUUUGUCGCAGAGUCAGAGGCGAAAGAGUCCGCCGCCCCCGCGGUCCCUACAAAGGGGCGCCCCUGUCCAGGAUUCGAUCGGCCUACGGGCAGUGGAGAUAGGGCAGCGCUCGACCCGGUGAGGUGGUGUGUGACCUUCGCCCCUCUGCUGACCUACGGAGAAGAAAAGGCCGUACCUACCCAGGAAGCUGUAUGCAGCAGAGCCGGUGAGAAAUACUCGAAGUCUCAGUAACAGUGUCUUUGUGUCCUAGCGGCCACCUGUGGAGAGAGAGAAGAACGAGAGUGAAUAAUUGAAGAACAGACUGUGAACGUGAUACCUACCCAGAAAGCUGUGUGCAGCAGAGCCGGUGAGAAAUACUCGAAGUCUCAGUAACAGUGUCUUUGUGUCCUAGCGGCCAUCUGUGGAGAGAGAGAAGAACGAGAGUGAAUAAUCGAAGAACAGACUGUGAACGUGAUACCUACCCAGAAAGCUGUAUGCAGCAGAGCCGCGGCCACCUGUGGAGAGAGAGAAGAACGAGAGUGAAUAAUUGAAGAACAGACUGUGAACGUGAUACCUACCCAGAAAGCUG